AUGGAACCACGUCACCCCGAGCUCGAGGAGUCCAGCACUGCCACCGUGGACGAGGUGCUAAAGCCGGUGGAGGCGCCAUCGGACGGUGAAGAAUGCCCCAUAUGCUUGGAUCAAGAGAGGGUAACGACCGCGUGGAAGGAGACAGUGUGUGGGCACAUCUUUCAUGAGCAAUGCGUGGAGAGGUGGCUCGAGACGAAGGGGAGUUGUCCCAUGUGUCGGCGUCAGCUUCAAGAACCAUGUGAUGCUGCAAAAUAUGGUAUUCGUCGUAGUCCCCUCAUCAUGAUGGCGGUGGAAGUAAUGGACAACUCCGACCUUCCAGAUCGAAGUAACUACUUUAGGCAAUAUAGGCAGGAGACGUUUGUAGGGUGA
rnacentral:rRNA from 1 species